GGCUCCAAAGCUACACAGAGAAACCCAGUCUCAAAAAACAAAACAAAAACAAAAAACAAUUUAUUUUUUUAUGUAGAUUUUUAUUUUGUAAAUGUAGUCAAGUAUUCUCCCCAGGUUUUAAAAGAAAUCGCACAAAGCUAUUUUCAUGAAAUGUAAUUAGGAACUGAUAAACUAGUAAACUCUAGACAGCCCAGGAAGAAGUUUCUCAUGCAGGACAAUCAAUGUGGGAUGGAUGCAAUCAUCUGUCUAAUCUCUAUGUUGUUCAGGGUUGAAUACAUGUUUUAGUGAAGUUUGAAAAUAAUGAAGACAUUAAACAGAAACACAGUCAGAGUGUUUUAACAAUACUGAGGAAUGCAUAUUCAAUGUGAAAUAGAAAAUUAAUUCUGUUUUUUCUUCAUGGAAUUGUAAUAAGACCUAGAUUGUUAUACUGGCAUUUGGAAUAUUAAUUUAUUUCAAAGUGCAAAAUUGCUAUAUUAGGUUUAAUAUGAAAUGAGUUCACUAGGUUUUGGUUGAUCGGUCAUAAUAUUAUCUGCUAGGCUUUGAGUAUUACUAUAAACCAUACAUUAUCUUUAUUCUUAACACAGAAACUGUUCUGUAAUAAUCUGUGAUGUCAUCCAUUUCUUUUGGCUGUUGCUGCAAUUUCUUAUAACAUCCUAUGGACUCAUUUUUUUGGAAAUUACCGUUAUAAUUAAUAACAUGUUUGUUUAAAUAUUCAAAGAUGUAAUACACAUACAUGAUUUGCAUUUUCUUUGGAUACAUGUGCAUGGCAGAUGUCUUCUGAAAUCUCUGUCUACCUCAUUUUUUGAAAUGUGACCUCUCACUGAGCCUGCAGAUGGUCAACAAACAGCAGAUUUCCUCCUGCCUCAGUCUUCCCAGCUCUGGAAUUACAGAGUGCUCAUCCAUUGGCUGAUGGAAGCAGAGGCAGACCCCCACAAGUAUACACUGAACUGAACUCUGGAAUCCAGUUGGAGAGAGGGAGAAAUGACAUUCUUUAUUAACCUUUUGAGGAGGCAUCCUUUAUUUCUUCUUCUGUUGAGAAAGUGCUUUGGACAUAGGAUAAGUAAGAAGAACCUACUUCAUUGACUUCUACUAAUCUAAUUGUUGAGAAUUUAACUUAAAUUAAGAGUGGUGAGAUGACCUUGAAAAUCUACUGGACCUCCUGUAGUUAUUUUAACUAAGAAGAAUGAGAAGCAUAGACAAUGCAGAGUGUGGAAGGUCCAGAGGGAGAAUUUCCAGAGCUCAAGAAUGAUUCAGAAUACCCCAAGAAGAAGAGUUGUGAGUCAUUGUAAUCAGAUUGCUACAAUAUUUUAUAAAUAAUAACACAGUCAAUAUAAAUAUGACUGAAGAUACUCAUGAUUGUAACAUAACUUUGGAAUAAAAUUAAAUUAUUGAA